GAUGAAGAACGUAGCGAAAUGCGAUAAGUAAUGUGAAUUGCAGAAUUCAGUGAAUCAUCGAAUCUUUGAACGCACAUUGCGCCCCUUGGUAUUCCGAGGGGCAUGCCUGUUCGAGCGUCAUUAUAACCCCUCAAGCUCGGCUUGGUGUUUGGGCCUGCCGCACGGGCAGCCCUCAAAAUCAGUGGCGGUGCCAUCUGGCUCUAAGCGUAGUAAUUCUUCUCGCUAUAGAGUCCCGGUGGAUGCUUGCCAUUAACCCCCAAUUUCAAUGGUUGACCUCGGAUCAGGUAGGGAUACCCGCUGAACUUAAGCAUAUCAAUAAGCGGAGGA
rnacentral:misc_RNA from 1 species